CCUACGGGUGGCAGCAGUGAGGAAUAUUGGUCAAUGGACGAGAGGCUGAACCAGCCAAGUAGCGUGAAGGAUGACUGCCCUAAGGGUUGUAAACUUCUUUUAUAAAGGAAUAAAACGAGGCACGUGUGCCUUUUUGCAUGUACUUUAUGAAUAAGGAUCGGCUAACUCCGUGCCAGCAGCCGCGGUAAUACGGAGGAUCCGAGCGUUAUCCGGAUUUAUUGGGUUUAAAGGGAGCGUAGAUGGGUUGUUAAGUCAGUUGUGAAAGUUUGCGGCUCAACCGUAAAAUUGCAAUUGAUACGGGCAGUCUUGAGUACAGUUGAGGUAAGCGGAAUUCGUGGUGUAGCGGUGAAAUGCUUAGAUAUCACGAAGAACCCCGGUUGCGAAGGCAGCUUACUAAACUGUGACUGACAUUGAUGCUCGAAAGUGUGGGUAUCAAACAGGAUUAGAUACCCUAGUAGUC
rnacentral:rRNA from 1 species